rnacentral:rRNA from 6 species
GGAUCAAUAUUUCGGUCAUGCCGUUGGUAUGCACUGUUAUCAUUGAUUUCUCACCUUCUAAAGAACCGUAAUGCCAUUAAUUUGGUGUUACGGGGAAUUAGGACUGUUACCUUGAAAAAAUUAGAGUGUUUAAAGCAGGCUCACGCUUGAAUACAUUAGCAUGGAAUAAUGAAAUAGGACAUCCGAUUCUAUUUUGUUGGUUUCUAGGAUCGAUGUA